rnacentral:rRNA from 1 species
GACGAACGCUCUUGGCGUGCUUAACACAUGCAAGUCGAACGGAAAGGCCCUGCUUUUGUGGGGUGCUCGAGUGGCGAACGGGUGAGUAACACGUGAGUAACCUGCCCUUGACUUUGGGAUAACUUCAGGAAACUGGGGCUAAUACCGGAUAGGAGCUCCUGCUGCAUGGUGGGGGUUGGAAAGUUUCGGCGGUUGGGGAUGGACUCGCGGCUUAUCAGCUUGUUGGUGGGGUAGUGGCUUACCAAGGCUUUGACGGGUAGCCGGCCUGAGAGGGUGACCGGCCACAUUGGGACUGAGAUACGGCCCAGACUCCUACGGGAGGCAGCAGUGGGGAAUAUUGCACAAUGGGCGGAAGCCUGAUGCAGCAACGCCGCGUGCGGGAUGACGGCCUUCGGGUUGUAAACCGCUUUCGCCUGUGACGAAGCGUGAGUGACGGUAAUGGGUAAAGAAGCACCGGCUAACUACGUGCCAGCAGCCGCGGUGAUACGUAGGGUGCGAGCGUUGUCCGGAUUUAUUGGGCGUAAAGGGCUCGUAGGUGGUUGAUCGCGUCGGAAGUGUAAUCUUGGGGCUUAACCCUGAGCGUGCUUUCGAUACGGGUUGACUUGAGGAAGGUAGGGGAGAAUGGAAUUCCUGGUGGAGCGGUGGAAUGCGCAGAUAUCAGGAGGAACACCAGUGGCGAAGGCGGUUCUCUGGGCCUUUCCUGACGCUGAGGAGCGAAAGCGUGGGGAGCGAACAGGCUUAGAUACCCUGGUAGUCCACGCUGUAAACGGUGGGUACUAGGUGUGGGGUCCAUUCCACGGGUUCCGUGCCGUAGCUAACGCUUUAAGUACCCCGCCUGGGGAGUACGGCCGCACGGCUAAAACUCAAAGGAAUUGACGGGGCCCCGCACAAGCGGCGGAGCAUGCGGAUUAAUUCGAUGCAACGCGUAGAACCUUACCUGGGUUUGACAUGGAUCGGGAGCGCUCAGAGAUGGGUGUGCCUCUUUUGGGGUCGGUUCACAGGUGGUGCAUGGCUGUCGUCAGCUCGUGUCGUGAGAUGUUGGGUUAAGUCCCGCAACGAGCGCAACCCUUGUUCACUGUUGCCAGCACGUUAUGGUGGGGACUCAGUGGAGACCGCCGGGGUCAACUCGGAGGAAGGUGGGGAUGACGUCAAGUCAUCAUGCCCCUUAUGUCCAGGGCUUCACGCAUGCUACAAUGGCUGGUACAGAGAGUGGCGAGCCUGUGAGGGUGAGCGAAUCUCGGAAAGCCGGUCUCAGUUCGGAUUGGGGUCUGCAACUCGACCUCAUGAAGUCGGAGUCGCUAGUAAUCGCAGAUCAGCAACGCUGCGGUGAAUACGUUCCCGGG